rnacentral:rRNA from 1 species
CAUAGGUUAAUGAGGCGAACCGGGGGAACUGAAACAUCUAAGUACCCCGAGGAAAAGAAAUCAACCGAGAUUCCCCCAGUAGCGGCGAGCGAACGGGGAGCAGCCCAGAGCCUGAAUCAGUGUGUGUGUUAGUGGAAGCGUCUGGAAAGGCGCGCGAUACAGGGUGACAGCCCCGUACACAAAAAUGCACAUGCUGUGAGCUCGAUGAGUAGGGCGGGACACGUGGUAUCCUGUCUGAAUAUGGGGGGACCAUCCUCCAAGGCUAAAUACUCCUGACUGACCGAUAGUGAACCAGUACCGUGAGGGAAAGGCGAAAAGAACCCCGGCGAGGGGAGUGAAAAAGAACCUGAAACCGUGUACGUACAAGCAGUGGGAGCACGCUUCGGCGUGUGACUGCGUACCUUUUGUAUAAUGGGUCAGCGACUUAUAUUCUGUAGCAAGGUUAACCGAAUAGGGGAGCCGAAGGGAAACCGAGUCUUAACUGGGCGUUAAGUUGCAGGGUAUAGACCCGAAACCCGGUGAUCUAGCCAUGGGCAGGUUGAAGGUUGGGUAACACUAACUGGAGGACCGAACCGACUAAUGUUGAAAAAUUAGCGGAUGACUUGUGGCUGGGGGUGAAAGGCCAAUCAAACCGGGAGAUAGCUGGUUCUCCCCGAAAGCUAUUUAGGUAGCGCCUCGUGAAUUCAUCUCCGGGGGUAGAGCACUGUUUCGGCAAGGGGGUCAUCCCGACUUACCAACCCGAUGCAAACUGCGAAUACCGGAGAAUGUUAUCACGGGAGACACACGGCGGGUGCUAACGUCCGUCGUGAAGAGGGAAACAACCCAGACCGCCAGCUAAGGUCCCAAAGUCAUGGUUAAGUGGGAAACGAUGUGGGAAGGCCCAGACAGCCAGGAUGUUGGCUUAGAAGCAGCCAUCAUUUAAAGAAAGCGUAAUAGCUCACUGGUCGAGUCGGCCUGCGCGGAAGAUGUAACGGGGCUAAACCAUGCACCGAAGCUGCGGCAGCGACGCUGAUGCGUUGUUGGGUAGGGGAGCGUUCUGUAAGCCUGUGAAGGUGUGCUGUGAGGCAUGCUGGAGGUAUCAGAAGUGCGAAUGCUGACAUAAGUAACGAUAAAGCGGGUGAAAAGCCCGCUCGCCGGAAGACCAAGGGUUCCUGUCCAACGUUAAUCGGGGCAGGGUGAGUCGACCCCUAAGGCGAGGCCGAAAGGCGUAGUCGAUGGGAAACAGGUUAAUAUUCCUGUACUUGGUGUUACUGCGAAGGGGGGACGGAGAAGGCUAUGUUGGCCGGGCGACGGUUGUCCCGGUUUAAGCGUGUAGGCUGGUUUUCCAGGCAAAUCCGGAAAAUCAAGGCUGAGGCGUGAUGACGAGGCACUACGGUGCUGAAGCAACAAAUGCCCUGCUUCCAGGAAAAGCCUCUAAGCAUCAGGUAACAUCAAAUCGUACCCCAAACCGACACAGGUGGUCAGGUAGAGAAUACCAAGGCGCUUGAGAGAACUCGGGUGAAGGAACUAGGCAAAAUGGUGCCGUAACUUCGGGAGAAGGCACGCUGAUAUGUAGGUGAAGUCCCUCGCGGAUGGAGCUGAAAUCAGUCGAAGAUACCAGCUGGCUGCAACUGUUUAUUAAAAACACAGCACUGUGCAAACACGAAAGUGGACGUAUACGGUGUGACGCCUGCCCGGUGC